rnacentral:ncRNA from 2 species
UACGUAGGGUGCGAGCGUUAAUCGGAAUUACUGGGCGUAAAGCGUGCGCAGGCGGUUGUGUAAGACAGGUGUGAAAUCCCCGGGCUUAACCUGGGAACUGCGCUUGUGACUGCACGGCUAGAGUACGGCAGAGGGGGGUGGAAUUCCACGUGUAGCAGUGAAAUGCGUAGAGAUGUGGAGGAACACCGAUGGCGAAGGCAGCCCCCUGGGCCGAUACUGACGCUCAUGCACGAAAGCGUGGGGAGCAAACAGG